rnacentral:lncRNA from 1 species
ACAUAUUUUACAAAAGAAUACAAACUGUGAUUUUCCCCGAGCAUAAAGGUUUUUCAUCAAAGUAUUCUUUCACGACUUAUACUUUUACUUGUUAGAUACCGCUGCUUCGCUUUCAUGUAUUUUAAACUCCUACUCGAUAACGCUUACACUUCGUGAUGCGUUUAUACACGUUAUCGUCUCUAUAUCGCUUAUACCUGUUAUUGUCUCUAUAUCGCUUAUACCUGUUAUUGUCUCUAUAUCGCUUAUACCUGGUACGCUUAUACUUCACGACUCGAUCUAUCCACACUGUAUGAAUUCACACCAUAAUGAUAUGUUUCCACUUAAUACACAACCAGCUGUAGUUAGAUGUAUGUCUGUGCGUAUAUAGAUACAUAUAAGUAAUGAUUGAAAGACUUAGGAAGGCUCGUCCGCCCUAUUUCCUUUUCUUCGUUGAGAUGUGGUCUGGUGGGAUCGGAUGUCCAUCCGAAGGUCGUUUGAUUCAUUAGUUAUAUAUUAUGUAUAUGAGUAUGGACAUAUAGGAAUUCUCUAGUCAGUUCAGUUAAGAGUCUCUACCUCUAGUCUACACUUACAUUAGAAACCCACUAUUGGGAAGUCUCUACCUCUAGUUCAGCACUUACACACUACCCACUAUUUGGAAGUCUCUACCCACUAUUUGGGAUGCAUCUUCAGGACACGGCCUUCUCCGUCGUCUAGUUGGUAACCAGAAUCUCCUGUAGGGAGAGCGGACAUUGUGUUUAUAGAUCUAUACGGGUUUGACAACCCCGCACCCGGCCUACAAAGCCAACGGGUGACAAAUGUCACAUUUUAUAGACGCUUGUAGGGCGUCUGGAACUCUAGUCAGUAUGGUUACGAGUAUCCCGAGUUACCUUAUAAUUCAUGGUCUUAAGGUAACGGUAUUUCACCGGCAAUUUACACUAUAUGCUGGUAACUCAUUUUCAAAGUCGCACUGUUUUGACCUUACAAGAUGUAUCUUUGAUUUGAUACUGUCUGGGGUCUAUAUUCACUGUUUUUACCUUACAAGACGUAUCUUUCAUUUGAUACUGUCUGGGGUCUGUAUUCACUGUUUUGACCUUACAAGACGUAUCUUUCAUUUGAUACUGUCUGGGGUCUGUAUUCACUGUUUUGACCUUACAAGACAUAUCUUUCAUUUGAUACUGUCUGGGGCCUGUAUUCGCUAUUUUGACCUUACAAGACAUAUCCUUCAUUUGAUACUGUCUGGGGUCUGUAUUCAUUGUUUCAGACCUUACCAGGUGUACCUCUCAUUUGGUACCUUCUGGGGUCUGUGCCUCCAUUUGUUAGACUGAACCAGGCGUGUCGUUCGUUCGAUACUCUCCUGGAGUCUAUGAUCCCUUUGCCUUAGUCAGCAGUCCUCACUGCUGAGGCAUAUGUUAUUUCCCUGUUGUCUCUUGCUUUCUUUAAUAAUCAAAUUCAACAUUUUGAUAAUGAUAGCAAUUAAGGGAAAACUACUUUUUACCACAUAGCACUGACCAGUCUUGGUAGAAGGCUGCUCUUAUUAAAGAAAAUAUAGGAUUUUCUGGAAAGAACUCUAAUGCACUGUAAACACUUGAACUAUUACUUCAUAAAGUUAUUUGACUAAAUACUUAUGAACUCACCCGCAUUUGUAAAAAUGCUGAUACUCGCUUUUCAAAUAACUUGUAUUCUCAAGUCAGCAAUUAGACAGGUACACCCCCGGAGCUGUUGAUGAAGAUGGCUUAGUACCUUGAUGUACUUAUUAUAUAUACUUGUAUUACUUUGAUACCUUGUAAUGUAACCAUUUAAAAUUAUUAUUAUUAAUGCAAUGUUUUGUUGUAUUUUGAUUACUAUAAUGCAUGUGUUGUGAUACUUGACAUGACGUCAUCCACCCCAGAACGUUUCCGCCGUUCCGGUUUUGGGGUGUGACAGAUUGGUAUCGGAGCAUUGUUUAUAGUGAGCUAAGUAUAUCAAUUCAUAAAAGAUAUACAACCUAUAAACACAAAAGGAUAAAACACCCGAACACAAGUAUCACGAGAAGAACAAUAAUAAAAGUCNNNNNNNNNNNNNNNNNNNNNNNNNNNNNNNNNNNNNNNNNNNNNNNNNNNNNNNNNNNNNNNNNNNNNNNNNNNNNNNNNNNNNNNNNNNNNNNNNNNNUAAAAGAUUCACACUAAUCCCAGAAUCAUAUUCAAAAGAUAAGAAACAAACAAAAAUUAAAAUACCAUAGGGGUAUUUUUGGAAACAUAAACAACCUUGCGUGAAUAACAAAAAAGAUCCUUAUUGAUAUACCUACGACUACAGAGGGUGUACUCCCAAGGUUAUAUAUAAUAAGGAUCCUAUAGGCUAAGAAUGUGUGGUUUCGCUCUAUUUCCUUUUCCUCGUUGGGAUGUGGCUCUAGAGUAGUAUCACAUAUUCGAAGGCCUAUCGGAUCUAAGCUAUAUAUGAUUUGUAUACCCUGUGUAAUCGUAGCAGGACUCGAUAUGGAUCAUACAGUGAAAUGUUAAUAAUCUCUUAGGAUUCUUUAGACAUUUCCAUUCUCGCGCGAACCCUGUAGACAACCCUAUCCACUUCAGUACUCGGCAGAAGAGUUGAUUCAGAUCCAUGAGAGGUUCAUUGAGAAUAUUUCAUGUUCGGAAAUAAAUGAACUGGGUUGAGACUAUUGAAUGCACAAAGUGCCCAUAUUCUUUUAGGGACAUUGGUGAGAAAUUUGCCUAAACUUCCGAGAUUCCCAGUUGCCCUUUAUGAGGUGAUGACACCCAUUAUCAGAUUCGGAAGUGGGGUAAAGUAGAAAUUCAAUAUGUCCAUACGAGAAGAAAACCCUAGGAAACUACCCGAAGGAAACCAACGCCGAUUCCAGUCAAAGAUACGAGGCAGACCGAGGGAGCCAGUACUUGGAACCCGGGAAUUCUCUUUUUCCUCGUGUUCGUCACACUAAUACACCCAUAAAAUAAUACAAUUUAGUGAGUUAGUGGUUACACUACUCACGCUAUGUGUUAGGUAAAAUCGUCGUUUCCCGUUGCCAGACACAUGAUUAGGGCGGAUCCCCGCAUCUCUAUUGAGAGAAUUUAGUCAUUUGCCCUUGUGAGCCUCUCUUUCCGCAAUUCGUUUCGAACUAUUCUCAAAUCUCUCCAGGCCGGAGAGUGAAACCUUUCCCAGUAUAAAGGUAACUUUGUAGGAACGACUCACAUCUUAUGGCCUUUUUCCGAUAUUCAUACACCCACUUCGAAUACCAGGACUACAUCAUAGGGAUGUAGGUUGACACUUAGACCACCAGUACCCGAGGCACGGGAAAGUUUAUGCCUAAUACAGUCAGGACAGAUAUGUCCAGGGUUAGCCAUCGUCUCUCAUUAUCUUGUAUUCCUUUCCGUGUAGGAAAAACCUUGCCUCUAAAGAAACGCAACCAGUCCACAAGCAAGAAACCUACUCUCUUAUUUGAUGAAGCUACGUUCCAAGCUGCAGUCUCGGUAGCCGUAGCAGCUGUCAUGGCUCACUUGGAUGCUAACAACGCCAAUUUUAGCAAGGUGCCUAUCGGGAUUUCCGAUCCUAGCAAUGGACAACAGCAACCAACACUUUCAUACCCAGUCACCGAAGAACCUCACUCGAAUCCACUAAUGAGAAAGAUCAUGAUAGAGGAGGGAAGUACCUCGGCUCAAGGACCUUCUGAAAGCCGACGAGCUGAGGCAGUCUAUACCCCUGUCAAUCCUUCCCUCCCGACCUCAAGAAAACCAUACCUAGGAGACCUUCCCCACUGCAGCAAGUGCAACUACCAUCAUCAUGGUGCCUGCCAGGAACUCUAUUGUGCUAGGUGCAACAUGAAGGGACAUACUACUCGCGUAUGCAGAACUCCGGUGGAGCAUAUUGCAUCAAUCACCAAAGUGACGACCAAUCCAGUUUGCCGUCUAUGUGGUGCGGUUGGACACCUCAAAAGGGAUUGGCCAACUGAAGGAAACAACAAAGACAUAGGAGGAGCCUAACUCUACUGCUUAGGGAGAAGCGUCGAGGAACUCGUUAUGUUUUGGUACGUCUCUCGAUCUCGGAUGACUAAACUAAAAACAAUAAAAGACUAAUUCAAAUGUAAAUUUUUCCCAGUAAGGCGAAAGUCGCAGCACUGUUAUAAAAGUUAAAAAUUCAUCAGGUAAAACUAUAAUGGCUAAACAUAUACGUUAUGGCCAUGUAUAGUUAAGAUGGACAGACCUAGAGUGAGCGAAUGCUGCCUCAUUUCCUGUUCCUCAUUUGGUUGUGGAUUUAGGGCGGGAUCACUCAGUCAACAUUCCUCCCCACCUUAAAUAUACAUGACUAGUAUAUGUGAGGCGAUUAUAGAAAUGCCUUGUGAGAAUUAAUUCAUGAAAAGAUACUCUAUUCGGAAACACUUAGAACUCUCUAUAGUUCCGCGUCGACUCUAUCGGUCCAAGUAUCCGCGGUAGUGAUACAUAGGACGAAACCCGAGACGCCUAGAACUUGUGUGCCUGUUCGGCACAUGACUCUAUCGAUCUUCAUUAUAUAUCAUCUCGAAGUGUGCCAACUUCGACAACUCUAUUGAUCAUGGUUUGACUUCGUGCAACCAUGUGUGCAUCCUUAGUGCUGUGUAAAAGAGAACUUUCUCUAUAGCCAUGUCGGCAAAUAAAGGUUCUCCCGAACCUAAACCUAACACAAAUAAUCAAACCUAAUGCGAUCCGUCAAUCGUCUCUCUUAUCUCAAACCUUCCGAAGUACCCAAGAGAGGGUACCGUAAGCUGUUGACCGACCCCUCGUAGUCAGAUGGAAACCGAAGUGAACGACACUGUAGAUACUUCAGAAGACAACAACCAUCCGGAGCAUACUCAGAAGAAUCCCCAGAAAGACCCUUCGCACCUCACACAUCAGGUUCGUGAACCUAGAGAACAAAACUCAUGAGACUGACCACUAUAACCAGGUAUAUGCACAAAGGUGGCAUAUAAUUGAGAUCAAAAAGAUUUAAGGUGUGUGUUUCCUCCCUAUUCCCUGUUCCUCAUUGGGUUGUGGGUUUGGGGUGGAGUCGCACAGCUGAACAUCCUGCCGACCUCAAUUAUAUACUGCUUGCAUACACCCAGUAUUUGUUGUUAGGCUAAGCAUGAGCUCUACCACGAACCUGUUAGCAAAACCCUUCACCCUAUUCCAUAACAUAGGAGCCGGAGUCAAGAGAAUCACCGCAGGUUGAGCUAUUAAAGUUCCGAGCAAUGAGACCCUGUACUCACUAGAUUUGACUUAGACCGAGGAAACUCGGAACCUUCGGAAGAGUAGUUACAGUAGAUAUUCACAUUACUCAGGCACUUCGUCCAUCCCGUUACAGACAAGUAGUGCCUAUGAUCCUCCACCCUCUUGCAUGGAGGAAAUCGUCGUCGCCCUGUAGACGAUUAAAUACGUUCUCCGAAGUGAACACUAGGAUACCGAGAACCACAGGAUAACCUUCGCAGCCAAGAAUACUUGGUCAAGGGCGGAGGUAGUUGCGUUAAGCCUCAUGACCCAGACCCCGAAGAGGUUAUAGACUUGACAACAGUCCUGGUGAUUAGUCGAAAGGUUAUGUAGGAGCAUGCACUUUCCACGCUAGAAUAAACAAAAGUAUUAGAGAUUCAUUGGACUAUUAGGUGUUCCACGAAUACUAUCUCACCCAGAGAUAGUAGAACCACCUCCUGAGAUAGUCCAACACUCGUCUGGUGAAACACUAUCUCCCCGACCCUCAGGGUUUCCGUGUCUCAAGGUUCGUUAGUGCAGGUCCAUUUUGCACAAGCUUGAGAUAGACACUCUACCGCAGACAGAUAACCGUAGAUACACAACCCAUCCAAUGACCUAGAAAGUCUCUAUCAGCCAGUUGAAAGGAAACAUGAAAUCAAGGACAACCCGAGCUUCCUAAGAACCAACCUGAAGGACUACACUACCAGUACGGGAGAGAACGUUAGGAACUUCGGAAUGGCGAUCACGCCAGUGAGGAUCGUGCCAUAGAAGUACACUAUGUUCUAAGUGCUGAAAAGCUCUACCAUUCCAAGAGCUUAGGACCAUCUGACAUCCUCACGGAGAUUUGGGCCAACUUUCGUCAGACCGCUACUACCUUCGGAUAUACCACAAGAUUCACACCCCGACCGAUCCAUUUCUUAGACUUGAUACGUGAUUUCCUGAAAACACUUUUCGUAGCUCACCCAUCUUGAUAGAAACCAUUGAGGACCCUGACUUCAUAGAUACACCAGUCGGAACCCGCUAGCUACACGAGUCGAAAUUCGCAUCCCGUACGUGAAGGUCUGUGGGAAUGACAAACACAGACUAGAGUUCGCUUGGGAAUGCGAGGACAACCGUACAGGAAGUACUCCCUUACCUCUACUUGGCCAGUCAUACCUACUUCCUUGCCUAGACCUGAAUUUCGGGACGAAAUUCCCUCUAAUGGGGGGAUGAUGUGACAACCCAAGUUGUUCCGUUACAUUUCCCCGUUACCGUUAACGGAAUAUUCCAGUUAUAAAAGUUCCGUUAAUUAGAGGUCGUCAAUUUAAUAAACAUUUCAAUUGUUUAUGUUUAAUAUGCCGUUAAGUCGUGAUGAAAGGGAAUAAAAACACACAACACACAAUUCCAUUUAUUUGGAAAAGUUAGUUUUUAUUAUUACGACCACUAAAUCGGGUGCGACCAAAAGCCCCGUUUAACGGCAGUAUCGGGUAAAAUUCCACUGUUCCCCGACUCGGAACCCUAUAUAAAUGUGAGUGGAGUCUAUUGGAGACUUUUUACACUCUCUCUCUAUACUCUCUCUCUAGACCCGUUUUCGCCCCAAAUCCGCAACCAAACGCUUCCAAAUCGUAAGUCCACUUACCCUAGCUUAUUCUAAACAUAUUGAUUUGUGUUUAUAGCUAAAAAUUCGGACUUAGAAGCUGUUAGAAUGGAGUUUACAGCCUAAGCUCCUUCUUAGGCCGUAAACCCCUUAAUCAAGGCCAAAAGACCCCAAACUUGUCCCUAAUGGCUAGGAAAUAAAUUAGGGAUUUAGCCUAGGAGUGUUUGAUCAAUUAAAGCAAUCAAUUUAGGGGGUAAAAAAGAGUUUACAGCCCAAGCACAAGCUUAGGCCGUAAACACCUCUUAAUCUUGUUAAAAGGCCCCAAAAGCACUCCCAAACCACCCUAGGGCUUAAUACAUAAAUUAGGGGCUUAACAUUUCGGGUUUAAACCAUUUAAACACAAUGAAAUGAAAGGGAAAAAGGGGUUUAUGGCCCAGGUAUGUACCAACGCUGUAAACACCCAUAAAUGUUCCAAAAAUGUGGUUUUUCCCCCCAAAUGGCCUUAGACUAUUUUUAUAAAAUGCUAGGAAUGAUUUAAGGGCUUAAAACUUCAUUAAAUCCAUGAUAUGAGAGUUUACGGCCAUAAACUCCCUUAGGAGUUGUCCCUAGGCCGUAAACUCCUAUAAGAUGCCCUUAGAAGCCUUAAACCCACUCAUGCCUUUUUGGAAAUGUACUUAGAAAAAUCCCAUUCCCUAGCGAUACACACCUUUAGACGCUACCCGGACACCAAAACACUUAACCAAAGUGUUUUCCGCUCCUUUGAGCACGUAUACUUGUUUAAUUAGUAUUAAAUAUACUAAUUGUAUGUGAACAUAUGUUAUCAUAUGUUAAAUAGGUCAUUGAGUGUGUUCGAGUCUUUAUGUGACACCGAACGCCCAAACUACACCUUCGUCGGACCUAAUUACACCAGGUGAGUUCAUACACCUGAAUGAACCUUUAAAUGUUUUUACAUGUUUUAUAGGGGGGAAUACAAGUUAAACAUGCCAGUUAUCAUAUCAAUCACGUGUGAUUGAUAACCCGGAUGCACAAGAUUUUACCACACAUUACACUGUUUUACCGAGUUAGACACUAUAAUGAUUUUUAAUUGUUUCAAAACUUUUACUUAUACUGAUUUAUCCAAAUUCAUUAUAAACUGGUUUAUGAAAGAUUUCCAAAGGUUUUUAAACAUAUUUUACAAAAGAAUAAAAACUGUGAUUUUCCCCGAGUAUAAAUGUUUUUCAUCAAAGUAUCCUUUCACGACUUAUACUUUUACUUGUUAGAUACCACUGCUUCGCUUUCAUGUAUUUUAAACUCCUACUCGAUAACGCUUACACUUCGAGAUGUGUUUAUACACGUUAUGGUCUCUAUAUCGCUUACACCUGUUAUCGUCUCUAUAUCGCUUAUACCUAUUAUUGUCUCUAUAUUGCUUAUACCUGUUAUUGUGUCUAUAUCGCUUAUACCUGGUACGCUUAUACUUCAUGACUCGAUCUA